GAUGAACGCUAGCGAUAGGCUUAACACAUGCAAGUCGAGGGGCAGCACAUGAGUGGCAACACGAUGGUGGCGACCGGCGCACGGGUGAGUAACACGUAUGCAACCUGCCCAUAACUGGGGGAUAACCCGUCGAAAGGCGGACUAAUACCGCAUGACAACGAUGAUCCGCAUGGUGAUUCGUUUAAAGAUUUAUCGGUUAUGGAUGGGCAUGCGUUCCAUUAGGUAGUUGGCAGGGUAACGGCCUACCAAGCCUACGAUGGAUAGGGGUUCUGAGAGGAAGGUCCCCCACACUGGUACUGAGACACGGACCAGACUCCUACGGGAGGCAGCAGUGAGGAAUAUUGGUCAAUGGGCGAGAGCCUGAACCAGCCAAAUCGCAUGAAGGAUGAAGGUAUUAUGUAUUGUAAACUUCUUUUGUCGGGGAAUAAAGUGCAGCACGUGUGCUGUUUUGUAUGUACCCGAAGAAUAAGGAUCGGCUAACUCCGUGCCAGCCGCCGCCGUAACAC
rnacentral:rRNA from 1 species